UAGUGAAAAGGUGUUGAUCAGUCAAUGGUGUUGAUUAAUUAACCUGAUUAAUGUUGAGUUAGCAACUGACUUUGGUCUCACUGUAUAGGGAACAAAUAAGUAAAACGCGACAUGAAGACACUGAGAGUUAUAUCCAGGUGGAGAACAUGCUGAUGGAUCACCACAACCAGAGCAGCCCUCAGUACGACACCACGACAAGAACCUGGACGGGAGGAUCUGAGGGAAAGAUUCAGGUGGAGAAAUCCCUCCUGAGAAAAUCUAAAUGUCAACCAGAAAUCCUGAUGAACAGCAAACAACAUUAAGAAACUGUAGAGUGAAGAAGAACAUUAGAAACCAGGUCCCUGCUCCUCUCCAGUGUAAAAGCUCCUCCUCAUGUUAGUACAUGUUUUCAUAUUAUAUCACUGUAUGUACUCUAAGUAGCUUAGUUUUCAUUCAUCUUUCUGUAUAUUUUAGCUUUGUAGGAAUUAAGGAUCUGCAGCGAAAACGAAUGAACUCAUUUCAUUUUCAAUAGUUUUUUAAUCAUAUUUUCAUAAAUCUGAAAUGUUUUCCUUGUUGAGUGCUUCAAACAUUUGAUGCUGUAACUAAUCAGACGUUGUGUGUAAACUCUUGUUGUUUUGCUCCAAAGAAUCUGUCACACGCGAAAAGUUGUGCAGUUAUUUACAUAUUUAAUAAAAGAAAGAAAAAGCUG